rnacentral:rRNA from 1 species
UACAGAGGGGGCAAGCGUUAUUCGGAAUCAUUGGGCGUAAAGAGCGUGUAGGCGGCUCGGUAAGUCCGCUCUGAAAGCCCGGGGCUCAACCCCGGGAGGCGGGCGGAUACUGUCGGGCUAGAGUCCGGAAGAGGCGAGUGGAAUUCCUGGUGUAGCGGUGAAAUGCGCAGAUAUCAGGAGGAACACCAAUGGCGAAGGCAGGUCACUGGGCCGCAACUGACGCUGAGGAGCGAAAGCAUGGGGAGCGAACAGG